rnacentral:rRNA from 1 species
GUGCCAGCAGCCGCGGUAAGACAGAGGGUGCAAACGUUGUUCGGAAUUACUGGGCGUAAAGCGUGUGUAGGCGGUCUCAUAAGUCGGAUGUGAAAGCCCCGGGCUCAACCCGGGAAGUGCAUUCGAAACUGCGAGGCUAGAGUAUCGGAGAGGUUGGUGGAAUUCUCGGUGUAGAGGUGAAAUUCGUAGAUAUCGAGAGGAACACCGGUGGCGAAGGCGGCCAACUGGACGAAUACUGACGCUGAGACACGAAAGCGUGGGGAGCAAACAGGAUUAGAAACCCUGGUAGUCC